rnacentral:tRNA from 1 species
GCAGUGGUGGUUCAGUGGUAGAACUUUUGCCUUCCAUGCAGGAGACCCAGGUUCAAUUCCCAGCCCAUGUA